UACGGAGGGGGCUAGCGUUGUUCGGAAUUACUGGGCGUAAAGCGCACGUAGGUGGCUUUUUAAGUCAGAGGUGAAAGCCCGGGGCUCAACUCCGGAACUGCCUUUGAGACUGGGAGGCUUGAACGCGGAGAGGUGAGUGGAAUUCCGAGUGUAGAGGUGAAAUUCGUAGAUAUUCGGAAGAACACCAGUGGCGAAGGCGGCUCACUGGCCCGGUACUGACGCUCAGGUGCGAAAGCGUGGGGAGCAAACAGG
rnacentral:rRNA from 1 species